CUAGGUCAAUGAACACUAUAUUCUAGUCCUUCCUCUCCUAUAAUGCUCCACCAGUCUCCUCACAAGGUGAAUGGCUUCUGUAUUCGAGUGUCCUUGUUAGAGAUAAAUGUUAUCCCUGUAACAUAUCCAAUAGUGGAUAGGCAAUAGAACUCCCGGGUCAACUAACUCUCUUUGAUCUAAUCCUAGUGCAGCGUACGUCUCUCUGAAUCUUUGUGUAUUUAUAGGAGUUAAACAUACUUCCAAUAUCAUCAAAUAUAAGAACAUUAUUUGCCUCUACUUUCCAAACCUUUCAUGGUAUCAGAGAAUAGCUAAAACUCAUGUCUCAUGGCUUCACCAUCGCUCACAAGUUUCACUACUUCAUCCCUAACCCAAAAUAAUAGUUUCUCCGCUCCAAAUAUGUCCCAUUCACAAGUUAUUAAACUUGAUGGGAAUAAUUAUAUCCUGUGAUUUACAGGUAGAUGGUUCUACCAAUAUUAAGAGGCCACGACCUAGAAGGUUAUGUUGAUGGUUCUCUCUAGUGUUCGCAGAAGGUCGUUGUGAGUAGUCCAAAGGAAGGAACUACCGCUGAAUCAUCCAUCAAUCCCUCUUUUUUGUCUUGGAAGAAACAAGAUCAAUUACUAUUUGGUUGGUUACUUUCUUCUCUAAUUGAGGGUGUUUUCGGUCAAGUUGUUGGUUGUUCGACUUCAAAAGAAGUUUGGCAAACAGGGGAAAACAUGUUUGCGUCUCAAUCUAGGGCUAGGAUUAUGCAACUGCGUCUGCAGUUACAGACCACGAAGAGGGUACUAUGUCCAAUGUCGAUUAUAUGCGAAAGAUGAAAAGGGUAUUUUGUCCAUGAUCGACUAUAUGCAAAAGAUGAAAACAUUUACAGAUAACCUUGAGGCAACAGCUCAACCAGUUACUGAUGACAAUCUGAUUUUGUAUAUUUUAGGUGGUCUAGGACCUUAUUACGAUGCACUUGUUGUGUCUGCCACAUCUGGGUCCGAGCAGAUCACCUUGGUGGAUCUCUAUGACUUGUUGCUUAGUCAUGAAUACAGGUUGGAGCGAACACUUGAUGUUGAUAGCAUUGGGCAAUCAAAUCUCAUGGUAAGGAACUCCUAUUCUCAAAAAGGGGACAAUAAUGCAGGCUUUAGGAAGAAUCAAAAUUCUGGUGGUUAUAAUGGUGGAAAAGGAGGCAGGGGUCAUGGCAGGAAUACAAAUACACGUCAAUCCACCUCAAAAUUUUCAAACUCAAAUACGGCUCAAUGCCACAUUUGCUCUAAAUUUGGACACUGCCCUCAAUUGUUACCAUAGGUAUGAUUAGCUGCUAUGGUGGUGCAUCUAUCGAGUGUCAUGGAUCCUUCCUGAUACCCGGAUUUUGGAGCAAUAAAUCACUUGACCAAUGAAUUGAGCAAUUUGAAUGUGCGUGACGAAUACAUUGGCAAUGAACAACUUCAUGUUGGGAAUGGAUCGGGCAACACGGAAAGUACUACUGGACGGGACUCUUGAGCAGGACUUUUACAAGAUUCUACCAAAUGCUUUCUCCAAGUCACCGAUUCAACCUCAAGCUUUGCUUACAACCACUUCCUCCUUCGAACUGUGGCACAACACUUAGGCUUUGCACCAAUAAAAGCAAUUAAUAAAGUUAUUCGGACACUUCAAGUUCCAGUCUUGAAUCACUCUUUGUUUCAUGUUUGUGGUUCAUGCCAAUACGGAAAGAGUCAUCGUCUUUCCUUUUCUAGUUCCUGUUAUCCUUUAGAUUUAAUAUAUUCUGAUGUAUGGGGACCAUCUCCGUAUCUUGCUAAUAAUAAAUUUCUCUAUUAUG